AUGUCAUGCCAUUGAUUUGAUUGUCAGGCUUCUCGGAGGUUUAGUAAUCCUAUAUUUUUUUUGUAAAAGUAUUUUCCACCAUCAUUAAACUAAAUAAUAGGCGAUAGCCUACGUUUGAAGUUUGAUGGAUCCUUGGGGCAGUGAAGUUGAUAAAUCUGUGGUUGUUUCGGAGUUUGAAGAUAAUUUUAAGCCAACUUCCGUGUCCGAGAAGCUAUCAGAUUCUGAGCAGUAUCUCGCUAUAUUAGAGCGUAAACUCAAGGCAAUCAAAUCCAAGAACAAGGUUGUGGAUAACUUAGCUGCAUAUAGAGCUGAUUGUAUCGACCGGUUGAUGCGAGAGGGCUGUGACCUAGAUCCUGUUGUUGGUGACACUGAGGCUGAGAAAUUGUUACAGGAGUAACUUCUGAAUACUAUAGACCAUUUGUAGAAUGCGCAGUGAUGGCCGGUCGUAAGAGUCUGUUCAUAUUCCUGAUGGGUCUGGCGUGGAAAUGCCGCUUCAGCAUGCCGCUGCUCCUGAGCGGGACGGUGGCCGUCCUCGGCAGGGCUUGGAUGUUCCAGAUCAGAGUGCAUACCGUUCAUCGCCUGCAUGAAAAUGAGGUGAGUUAGUUGGCAUAUUACGAUGAAGACGAAGAGCAGGACGAGGACGAUGGUUCAUGGGAAACGGAGUCCACGGACUCCUGGGAGACCAUCGUGGAGGAGGUGGCUUACGGAUGACGUCACGACCACGACACCUUCUAAUAAACACAUUAGUUAAAGCGCGUUACGUUCCAUGGUCUUUUUAACUAAAUUACAUAAUGGGCGUAGGUUUAAUAGUCAUUGGCUAAGAUUUCUUUGGGAAAUUUUACGAUUUUUAUCGAAGAUUGCUAGAUUUCGGUUGAUUUGUGCAUAACUAUACUUCCCACCUUCUGCAUUAGUUUUCAAACUUAAAGCUAUUUUUCUGUUUUUUUUUCUUGAAGACAAUUUUCAAUGAAGUCUUGUCCUCUUUGAUGGCUGCUUUCUAAAGUUACUAUUUGAGAUAACUGAGUCUGCACAUGUUAAACAAGGUUUCUGAAAUAAAUGAAAUCGAAAUAACUCUGUAUUGAUAAACGUCACUUUGUUCAUAGCCGUUCUCAACUGUCAUGCUGUAUCUUGCCUUUAUGAAAAUGAAUGUGGCAAACAUUUAGUAAACCUAAAGUUGUUAACCUAUAAUUGGAGUCUUUUGAACAUUUUACAUCAUAAUAUUCAAUUUGACAUCUGUUUUUCAGUUACCAAAGAUCUAUCUACGCCCAUAUUUGAUCGUGAUCGAGACUUAUUUUCAAUAGGUGUUGGAUUUUAAGUUGUAAUGCUAGGAUCACAUAAGUUUGACAUUGGUGAAAGGCCGUGCUUAGAAGGGUACCGGCUAAAAAGAUCUGUGAGCAGAGGUAACAUAGGAGUUUGGCUAAAUAUUGCAAAGCUUUUUUUAUAUCAGCCGUAUUCAAAAGUGACAUUGAUAUGAUUCUGCCGUGAAAUUUUUUUCAUGACAAUUUUAAAUUUAAGAAUAUUUCAUCCAGCUAAAUGUUGUUUAUGAAUAUGGCUACCAACCUCUUUAUUAAAAAUGUCGUUUAUAGAGUGCGGUUGUACCUUCAACAGUGCGGCCCUGGGAUCUAUGUAUUAAUAUAUUUUUAUAUUAAUUUCUUGUUUGUUUCUAAUAUGUAUAUACAGAACCAUUUACGGUUAUUUUUAUUUGAUUAAAUAACUCCCCCUAAUGGGAUAUGAGAUUUGUUUUAAUUUUUGAUCGCAAGUAGCAAAUAUUUGUAGUGAAUAUGAUGUGAUCUCCUUUUUGUUAUGCGAAUUGUGACGAAAUAACUUUCUUAAAUUUUGUUUGAAGGUGGUGGAAAUACUAUGUAAAAUAUAUUGGUUUGGUAAGCUUCAAGUGAGCGCUUACUGGCAACAAAACUGUAAUAGUCUUGCAACUGUCGCAAUAAAAUUGUUUUAUCGGCGACAUCCAACCGCUAUCAUCCAAGUAUCGUAGUAUCUGGCAAACAGUUUCGUUUUUGUAAGCAGACAGUUUUGUUCCCAGUUUGUGCUAGGGUUAGUUUGAAUUUAACGAUCCAUAAAAAUGUUUGUAAAAUAAUUUGUAUCAUUAUUCAGUAAACUCAUGUUUGAAAAA